CGUGUAAGUAACUGUGCACGUCUUGACGGUACCUAAUCAGAAAGCCACGGCUAACUACGUGCCAGCAGCCGCGGUAAUACGUAGGUGGCAAGCGUUAUCCGGAAUUAUUGGGCGUAAAGCGCGCGUAGGCGGUUUCUUAAGUCUGAUGUGAAAGCCCACGGCUCAACCGUGGAGGGUCAUUGGAAACUGGGAGACUUGAGUGCAGAAGAGGAAAGUGGAAUUCCAUGUGUAGCGGUGAAAUGCGCAGAGAUAUGGAGGAACACCAGUGGCGAAGGC
rnacentral:rRNA from 1 species